ACGCUGGCGGUGUGCUUCAUACAUGCAAGUCGAACGAUAAGGUCCCUUCGGGGAUACAUAAGUGGCGGACGGGUGAGUAACACGUAGAAAAUCUACCUCGAGGAAGGGGACAACAGUUGGAAACGACUGCUAAUACCCUAUAUGAGCUGGGCUGAAACGCCUAUCUUGAAAGUUCCGGCGCCUUGAGAUGAGUCUGCGUCUGAUUAGCUAGUUGGUGGGGUAAAUGCCUACCAAGGCGACGAUCAGUAGCUGGUUUGAGAGGAUGACCAGCCACAAUGGGACUGAGACACGGCCCAUACUCCUACGGGAGGCAGCAGUAGGGAAUUUUGCGCAAUGGGGGAAACCCUGACGCAGCAACACCGCGUGAACGACGAAGCCCUUCGGGGUGUAAAGUUCUGUCAGUAGGGACGAAUUUUGACGGUACCUACAAAGGAAGCAUCGGCUAACUACGUGCCAGCCGCUGC
rnacentral:rRNA from 1 species